AACUGGAGGAAGGUGGGGAUGACGUCAGGUCCUCAUGGCCCUUAUGGGUAGGGCUACACACGUCAUACAAUGGCCGGUACAGAGGGCUGCCAACCCGCGAGGGGGAGCCAAUCCCAGAAAACCGGUCGUAGUCCGGAUCGCAGUCUGCAACUCGACUGCGUGAAGUCGGAAUCGCUAGUAAUCGCGGAUCAGCAUGCCGCGGUGAAUACGUUCCCGGGUCUUGUACACACCGCCCGUCACACCAUGGGAGCGGGUUCCGCCAGAAGUAGUUAGCCUAACCGCAAGGAGGGCGAUUACCACGGCAGGGUUC
rnacentral:rRNA from 1 species